CUGCGCCACAAGUGGCAACCAUGAUUAUUGGGUCUAAAGCGUCCGUAGCCGGUUCGGUAAAUCUUUUGUGAAAUCGUUGGGCUUAACCUAACGGCUUGCAAGGGACACUACCGGGCUUGAGACCGGAAGGAGUGCGAAGUAUGGUGUGGGGACCGGUAAAAUGGGAUAAUCCACGCUAGACUACCAAUGGCGAAGGCAUCGCACCAGGACGGAUCUGACGGUGAGGGACGAAAGCUAGGGGAGCGAACCGGAUUAGAUACCCGAGUAGUCC
rnacentral:rRNA from 1 species